CAACCCACGGAGGGGGGCACCCGCCUGCGGGGCCGUUUCCGAGGGCUGCAGGCAGAUGGUGCGGGCGUGCGUGUGCUUGGGGCCCGGGACCAGCCCUGCUCCCGGGCCCAGCCGCAACAGGAGAAUGGGAACAGAUGAGGACAGCAGGGGGCCCGGGGGCCCGGGCUCUCAGGAAUGACGCUAGCACCACCAGCCGGAAGUGGCUCAUCCCACAGCAGGGUCUGCCUCUGCCAACUUGAGCAGAGAACACGCACUUCUCAGGGACGGCAAGUCUCCUUCGGGUUCACUGAGACAGAAAUGUCGCAGUGGCAUGCGGGCUCACGACAAAAGGAAAGCCAGCACCGAGCACCAGGCAAGACUCCCAAGACCUCAGGAGCAGCUCAGAAACACAGGAACCAGGCAGAGAAAUCUACCGGGCACCACCUCAAAGGUCUGUAAACAGAGGAGGGCAGGAGAGAACCGGGCAGCCCUAACGGAACCUUGCCACCCUCCCAGAAGCCCAGGCAGGCGGAGUGAGGAAGUAGAACUGGGCCCCAGAGGUACAGCCGCUUGGUCCACAGACCUCCCGGCAAAGGUCAUGGAACUGGCACAAGGGAGGAGACCGACUGGACAAGUGCCACCCGGGAGCUGGGGUGCGGAGGAGAGUCCGCGGGCCCAGCCCAGGGUGAAGCCGUAGCAGGUACUUCCUCACGCAGUGGAGGGCCGGCCAGCAGGCAGGGCACAGACGCAGCCGGCGCGGGGCAGGACGUGCACAGCUACCAGAGCCAGGGCCUGGAAGAGCGGGGAGCAGAGGGCCACCCCGGAAGUGUCACCUGUAGGGCUCCCUGCAGAUGCCAGGAGAACAUGGACGCUCACCGCUAGGGAGCCCCACAAUGCUUUUCAGGGAAAGGUGAGGCAGGAGAACGCCAUCUAAGUCACGGUCCCGUGGUGGGAAAAGAAAAAAGCCUUGUAUGUUCAAAUCACAUUCUGAGAACACCGAGUGGGGUGCAGCAAAGCUU